CUACAAAUGAAUUGAGGGGCCCGCACAAGCGGUGGAGCAUGUGGUUUAAUUCGACGCAACGCGAAGAACCUUACCAGGGCUUGACAUCCCCUGACCGCGUAUGAAAGUACGUUUUCACCCUCGGGUGACAGGGAGACAGGUGGUGCAUGGUUGUCGUCAGCUCGUGUCGUGAGAUGUUGGGUUAAGUCCCGCAACGAGCGCAACCCCUACGUUUAGUUGCUAACGCGUGAAGGCGAGCACUCUAGACGAACUGCCGUUGACAAAACGGAGGAAGGUGGGGAUGACGUCAAAUCAUCAUGCCCCUUAUGUUCUGGGCUACACACGUGCUACAAUGGCCGGUACAGACGGACGCAAAGCCGCGAGGCGGAGCAAAUCCGAAAAAGCCGGUCUCAGUUCGGAUUGCAGGCUGCAAUUCGCCUGCAUGAAGUCGGAAUCGCUAGUAAUCGCAGGUCAGCAUACUGCGGUGAAUACGUUCCCGGGCCUU
rnacentral:rRNA from 1 species